rnacentral:rRNA from 1 species
UACGGAGGGAGCUAGCGUUGUUCGGAAUUACUGGGCGUAAAGCGCACGUAGGCGGCUUUGUAAGUUAGAGGUGAAAGCCCGGGGCUCAACCCCCGGAAUUGCCUUUAAGACUGCAUCGCUUGAAUCCAGGAGAGGUGAGUGGAAUUCCUAGUGUAGAGGUGAAAUUCGUAGAUAUUAGGAAGAACACCGGUGGCGAAGGCGGCCCACUGGUCCGGUACUGACGCUGAGGUGCGAAAGCGUGGGGAGCAAACAGG